CCCGCACAAGCAGCGGAGCGUGUGGUUUAAUUCGAUGCAACGCGAAGAACCUUACCAGGGUUUGACAUGCUUAAAGUAGGAACUCGAAAGAGGGACGACCUGUAUCCAGUCAGGAGUUUUGCACAGGUGCUGCAUGGCUGUCGUCAGCUCGUGCCGUGAGGUGUUAGGUUAAGUCCUGCAACGAGCGCAACCCUCGUCGCUAGUUGUUUUCUCUAGCGAUACUGCCCGUAUAACGUGGAGGAAGGUGGGGAUGACGUCAAGUCAGCAUGGCCCUUACAUCCUGGGCUACACACACGCUACAAUGGGUGAUACAACAGGUUGCAAUAGAGUAAUCUGGAGCUAAUCCCUAAAAUCAUCCUCAGUACGGAUUGCAGGCUGAAACCUGCCUGCAUGAAGUUGGAGUUGCCUUAGUAAACGCACGGUCAGCAACAACUGCGUUGAAUACGUUCGUCGGGCCUU
rnacentral:rRNA from 1 species